rnacentral:tRNA from 1 species
GCCCUGGUAGCUCAACGGAUAGAGCAGUUCCGUCCUAAGGAAAAGGUUGUAGGUUCGAAUCCUUCCCAGGGUACCA